GGCUCGGUGGUGUAGUUGGUUAUCACGUCAGUCUAACAUCUGUUAGUUCACUGAAGGUCCCGAGUUCAAACCUCGGCUGAGUCA
rnacentral:tRNA from 1 species